rnacentral:rRNA from 1 species
AGCAGCCGCGGUAAUUCCAGCUCCAAUAGCGUAUAUUAAAGUUGUUGCCGUUAAAAAGCUCGUAGUUGAACCUUGGACCUGGCUGAUCUGUCCUCCUAAUCGAGCGCACGGAUUCGGUCGGGUCUUUCCUUCUGGGGAGCCCUAUGCCCUUCACUGGGUGUAGUGGGGAACCAGGACUUUUACCUUGAAAAAAUUAGAGUGUUCAAAGCAGGCCUUUGCUCGAAUACAUUAGCAUGGAAUAAUAGAAUAGGACAUCGGUUCUAUUUUGUUGGUUUCUAGGACCGCUGUAAUGAUUAAUAGGGAUAGUCGGGGGCGUCAGUAUUCAAUUGUCAGAGGUGAAAUUCUUGGAUUUAUUGAAGACUAACUACUGCGAAAGCAUUCGCCAAGGAUGUUUUCAUUAAUCAGUGAACGAAAGUUAGGGGAUCGAAGACGAUCAGAUACCGUCGUAGUCUUAACCAUAAACUAUGCCGACUAGGGAUCGGACGGUGGUUUUUUUAUNCCCCG